UUGAAAAUAUUCCAUUGUUUUACUGUAAAAUCAGACUGCAUAAACAGUUAAUAUUAUAUUAAUUGUAUAUUUACUUUACUAUCUCAAUAUUUCAUUAUGAAACAUACUUACUUUUUCCAACAGGUUUUUGUUCGAGAAGGGACACGCUUGUUUUCUGAAAUAUCCUCAUCUUCUUGUGGUAAAAGGUACCUUUUCCUUUUCAUUAGAUGCCGUUCCAUUUUUAAAAAAAUAUUAUUAUUAUUAUUCUUUUAAUGCCGAAUCAUUUACAAAAUAUUGCAAUAGCAGAAAAAUGACUAGAAAAGAUGAUUGUUUCGAACCCGCCAUCAGUUAAUAUAAAUAGUUUAUUGGAGUAACUACGUGUCAAUCAUGUAGCUGGCCAAUUACUGAGUCGUAAUAUUGCAGCAGGGCGGAGACUGAUUUCAGAAUUUCAGCUCGCGGUCGUAUGGUCGUGUCACUGUCACGGAACUUUACGUUUGGUAACACGUAAGUACAGUACAUGACAUGUACAUAAAACACAUAUUAAUAUUAUUGUGACAGGCAUGGAAGGACGUGCAUAAUUAAUUUUUAACAUUUUCAAAGUGACAGAAAAUUCGAGUGCAAAAAAUCCCCUAAAAUUAAAGGCAAUUAAGUUUUGCUGAACGCAGGCCUAUUCUUUGUCACUCAGUGGUGGCAUACGGUAAUAAUGUGGAGAUAUAUGUAUUUGCUUAUCCAUCACAUUGUUUUAAAAACAAUACCAAAAUACACUAUACAAUGAUAAUAUUGCACAGCAUUACUUGACUCUGAUGCUAAAUUGUUGUUGAAUACUUUGGUAUAACGUACCGGUGGUACUGUAUAUGAAAAGCUGUGUUUUGGCGAUAAUGGUUAUAUUUUCUUUUACUGUAUUUUCGUUGUGCUGAAGUGUGUCAGAAUGAGGAGGUUUGCCUUGGUUCAGUGGAAAGCUGGAGCUGAUAAAGGCAAAUUCAGCGAAGUCAGUACGGAUGCUGUUCACAAUUACAAUGAUGAAGAUUUUGACGAGGAUGGAAAUCCGAAGGCCAAGCUGAAGCGAUCGUAGAAUGGCGCCAAGGUAAAAAACAGAAACAGGGAUGGCCUAUGUACGCGGGCGCUGUUCUUUUUGUUCAUAAUAAUAGAUUCGCCAUUGCAAAGAAGAUGCAGGAGUGCGUUGAAAAGAAGGAUCUGGGGAAACGCCUGAAGAGGCCGCUUAAAAUGCCUAAGAGAUAUGAGUCUUCUUCAGAUGGUUCUGAUACAGAACCGGUUAAGAAAACAUCUUCAGAGACCAGCAUGGCAAAACAGUGCUUACAGAAACACAAGUCAGGUUCCACUGCUGAAACACGAGAUGUUGAAGAAGACCAUUUGAAGAGUGUACAGCUCCAGAAAGAAAAUCAGGAUCUUAAGGAAGAGAAUCAAAAUCUUAAGGAAAUGCUCUUCAAAGGCAUGUUAAAACAUUUUGUAUUAUAGCAGCGAUUGGGUGUCUGCUGUGUGUUUUGGUUCUGUGUUCAAAAAUACCUUUCUCAAUUUUCUUUUUCUGUAGUUUGAUGUAGGAUUUUAGAAAGGAAGUUUGCAGAGUUCGUUAUCAACUAUGCUGUUUUGGAUUGUGUGAUAUUUUCAGUUUUUAAAGUUUACAAAUUCUUAUUAUCUUGAAAAGGUAAAACAUUUUUUUCUCGAAAUAAAACACUGAAAUGUCUUAAGGUAA